rnacentral:lncRNA from 1 species
CUUUUAACUGUUAGAAAAUUGCGUACAGUAAAAACGCAGCGGAAAAAUAAAUCAAACAAAUUUGAUUUUUGAAAACUCUCGAGAUCCAAUCCCAAAAACCACGCAAUUAGGAUCCCUCAUGUUCUUUAAGAUUAAAGGAGAAAAGUAAGAUCGAAUCUUUACCUUAUUCGCGGAUAAAUCUUCACCUCAAUUUGAUAAUCGUGGAAUUCGGUUCUCUUGAAGCCGCACACGCGUCCGGCCUCUAUAGGUAUCCACACGAGGUUCUUGAUUUGAUCGAUGUCCUCACCGGGGUGCUAGCUCCCUUGCAAAAGGACAUCUUUUUUGCUAGAAGAUGGAAGAGAAANAAAAAGAAAUCAAACAAAUUUGAUUUUUGAAAACUUUCGAGAUCCAAUCUUAAAAUCCACGCAAUUAGGAUCCCUCAUGUUCUUUAAGAUUAAAGAAGAAAAAACAAGAUCGAAUCUUUACCUUUUUCGCGGAUAGAUCUUCCCCUCAAUAUGAUGAUCGUGUAAUUCGGUUCUCUUGAAGCCGCACACGCGUCCGACCUCUAUAGGUAUCCACACGAGGUUCUAUAUGUCCUCACCGGGGUGCUAGCUUCCUUGCAAAAGGACGUCUUUCUUGCUAGAAGAUGGAAGAGAGAAGAGAGGAUGGAUUACAGCUAGGGUUUUCUAAAAACUCCCGUAUAUUAUAUAUAGGAAUAUAAUCCUAUUCCUAAUAAUAUAAUGACAAUUAAGGAUAAGAAUAAAUCUAGAUUUAAAUUUAUCUUUUCCUUAAUUGGUUAGAUCGAUCAAAUCCUAAUUUGAUUCGACUUGAAUUUUAUAUUAAUUUGAUCUUAUCAAAUUAAUAAUGCAACAUUUGCACAUAAAUCCUCUUAUAAUUUACUAACUAUUAGUAUGUCCUCUCUUGUAACAUUUACACUUUAAUACCACUAAUUUGUAAUAAUUACAAAUUAGUCUAAUUAUCAACAUAUUGACAAUUAGGUCCUCCGACGAUUCAAUAAUCGCGGUCUAGCUAUCCGAUCAAUCACAACCUCUUAUGUGUGUGACCCCAUAGGUUCUAUUCUAUUUGGUAGUGAGAUAUAUUUUGAUCACUAUCAACAAUAUCACUAAAACUCCUUUCAAUGGAUCAGAACAAUUCCAACUCAGCCCAAUGAGAAUUAUUGAUCAUCUAGAUAAUUCUCAUGAGUCUCACAAUCCACCAGUGACGCCUAGCAGCAUGUAGUGGCAUUCCAGUAGAAUAGAAUACUGAACCUCUUGGUGUAGUUACCGUGUGAUACAAUCCUUCUAUCAUGAGUCCCGACUAGACGGAGGUUAUGGAAUAACUCGUCAAACCCCAUCGUCUGUCAUAUGUUAAAUUUAUUCGACUCGAGUUUCUAAUAUCGGAAAUCCUUUUCCGCUAUUUAUUCUGCCCUGGCCAAGGUCUUCUAAACUCGGUCUCAUAAAUCACAUAGGACUAACACUCCUAUCUACCAAGGGAGAUAGAUUCCAUCUAAGUGCGCAUCCUAUUCCUAUAAUAAACUUACUGCAGCCAACAUGCACCGCAAGGACCCGAAUGGCUAGGGACCAAGUGUAUGUACAGUCAAACUACAGUAACCUUAUUGUGAAUAGCCGAGGCACCGCAGGUCAAAGGACCAGUCACACUACUGCAACAUUAAGUAAGUCACUGACGAGUGAGUAGACAUCCAAGUGACUUCUCGCGUUGGUCACGCUCAGUACCCUUGUUCUCCAACAACCACCUGCAUAUUCGCUUUAGUGUCCCCACAUUAUCGACUUGAGACUCGUCUACCCAGAAAGGGAAAUGACCUAUGCACCAAUCUCACCGGAUCAAUCAUCGUCCCUGUGAUGAUCCAUUGAUCGGGAGCAUUUAGAAAUUAACCACCAAUGACACAUGUCUCAAAUUCGCAACACUUGAGAAUAUAUGUCAUCAUCUUAUUAAUUCCUUGGACGAUUCAUGGACACAUAUACAACAUGAAUGAAAAUAAAAAUCUAAAGUUAUUCAUAAUAUUUAAAAGUCAAAUACAAAUUUAUAUCCUAGAAAGAAUA